rnacentral:rRNA from 1 species
AUUGAACGCUGGCGGCAUGCCUUACACAUGCAAGUCGAACGGCAGCACGGGUGCUUGCACCUGGUGGCGAGUGGCGAACGGGUGAGUAAUACAUCGGAACGUACCUUACCGUGGGGGAUAACGCAGCGAAAGCUGUGCUAAUACCGCAUACGCCCUGAGGGGGAAAGCGGGGGAUCGCAAGACCUCGCGCGAUUAGAGCGGCCGAUGCCUGAUUAGCUUGUUGGUGGGGUAAGAGCCCACCAAGGCGACGAUCAGUAGCUGGUCUGAGAGGACGAUCAGCCACACUGGGACUGAGACACGGCCCAGACUCCUACGGGAGGCAGCAGUGGGGAAUUUUGGACAAUGGGGGCAACCCUGAUCCAGCAAUGCCGCGUGAGUGAAGAAGGCCUUCGGGUUGUAAAGCUCUUUUGUCAGGGAAGAAACACCGGCUCUAACACAGUCUGGGAAUGACGGUACCUGAAGAAUAAGCACCGGCUAACUACGUGCCAGCAGCCGCAGUAA